rnacentral:rRNA from 1 species
CAACCUGCCCAUAUCAGGUGGGAUAGCCCGGAGAAAUCCGGAUUAACACCGCAUGCAACCGGAGGAUGGCAUCAUCUUCCGGUUAAAUAUUCAUAGGAUAUGGAUGGGCUCGCGUGACAUUAGCUAGUUGGUGGGGUAACGGCCCACCAAGGCGACGAUGUCUAGGGGCUCUGAGAGGAGAAUCCCCCACACUGGUACUGAGACACGGACCAGACUCCUACGGGAGGCAGCAGUAAGGAAUAUUGGUCAAUGGGGGCAACCCUGAACCAGCCAUGCCGCGUGCAGGACGACUGCCCUAUGGGUUGUAAACUGCUUUUGUUAGGGAAUAAACCCCACUACGUGUAGUGGGCUGAAUGUACCUAAGGAAUAAGGAUCGGCUAACUCCGUGCCAGCAGCCGCGGUAAUACGGAGGAUCCGAGCGUUAUCCGGAUUUAUUGGGUUUAAAGGGUGCGUAGGCGGCACUUUAAGUCAGGGGUGAAAGACGGCAGCUCAACUGUCGCAGUGCCCUUGAUACUGAAGUGCUUGAAUGCGGUUGAAGACGGCGGAAUGAGACAAGUAGCGGUGAAAUGCAUAGAUAUGUCUCAGAACACCGAUUGCGAAGGCAGCUGUCUAAGCCGUUAUUGACGCUGAUGCACGAAAGCGUGGGGAUCGAACAGGAUUAGAUACCCUGGUAGUCCACGCCCUAAACGAUGAUGACUCGAUGUU